UACAUGCUCGGGAGCUUGAAGGCCGCGGCGGAGGCGGCGGGGAAGCCGGAGUGGGGCCACGGCGGUCCCUCCGACGCCGGCGAGUACAACAACUGGCCUGAAGACACGGCGUUCUUCCGUCGCGACGGCGGCUGGAGCGGAUCCUACGGCGAGUUCUUCCUCUCCUGGUACUCCCAGCUGCUGCUUGACCACGGCGAGAGGAUUCUCGAGAGGGCCUCCGCCAUAUUCCGUGAGCUCCCGGCGGUGAAGAUCUCGGUGAAGGUCGCCGGCAUCCACUGGCACUACGGCACGCGCUCCCACGCGCCGGAGCUGACGGCAGGAUACUACAACACCCGCGAACGCGACGGCUACCUGCCCAUCGCCCGCAUGCUGGCCCGCCAUGGCGCCAUCUUCAACUUCACCUGCGUGGAGAUGAAGGACUACGA
rnacentral:lncRNA from 1 species